rnacentral:rRNA from 1 species
UACAAAUUUUCAACGAUGGAUAUCUUGGUUCCCAUAACGAUGAAGAACGCAGCUAAAUGCGAUAUGUAAUGUGAAUUGCAGAAUUCAGUGAAUCAUCAAAUCUUUGAACGCAACUGGCG